GAAGUGUGGACGCCAGUCUGCAUGGAGCCGACCUUGAAAUACCACCCUUUAAUGUUUGAUGUUCUAACGUUGACCCGUGAUCCGGGUUGCGGACAGUGUCUGGUGGGUAGUUUGACUGGGGCGGUCUCCUCCUAAAGAGUAACGGAGGAGCACGAAGGUUGGCUAAUCCUGGUCGGACAUCAGGAGGUUAGUGCAAUGGCAUAAGCCAGCUUGACUGCGAGCGUGACGGCGCGAGCAGGUGCGAAAGCAGGUCAUAGUGAUCCGGUGGUUCUGAAUGGAAGGGCCAUCGCUCAACGGAUAAAAGGUACUCCGGGGAUAACAGGCUGAUACCGCCCAAGAGUUCAUAUCGACGGCGGUGUUUGGCACCUCGAUGUCGGCUCAUCACAUCCUGGGGCUGAAGUAGGUCCCAAGGGUAUGGCUGUUCGCCAUUUAAAGUGGUACGCGAGCUGGGUUUAGAACGUCGUGAGACAGUUCGGUCCCUAUCUGCCGUGGGCGCUGGAGAACUGAGGGGGGCUGCUCCUAGUACGAGAGGACCGGAGUGGACGCAUCACUGGUGUUCGGGUUGUCAUGCCAAUGGCACUGCCCGGUAGCUAAAUGCGGAAGAGAUAAGUGCUGAAAGCAUCUAAGCACGAAACUUGCCCCGAGAUGAGUUCUCCCUGAC
rnacentral:rRNA from 1 species